rnacentral:rRNA from 1 species
CAGCCGCCGCGGUAAUACGUAGGGUGCGAGCGUUAAUCGGAAUUACUGGGCGUAAAGCGUGCGCAGGCGGUUAUGUAAGACAGGUGUGAAAUCCCCGGGCUUAACCUGGGAACUGCGCUUGUGACUGCACAGCUAGAGUAUGGCAGAGGGGGGUGGAAUUCCACGUGUAGCAGUGAAAUGCGUAGAGAUGUGGAGGAAUACCGAUGGCGAAGGCAGCCCCCUGGGCCAAUACUGACGCUCAUGCACGAAAGCGUGGGGAGCAAACAGGAUUAGAGACCCCUGUAGUCCCUGUCCCUUAUAC